rnacentral:rRNA from 1 species
AUUGAACGCUGGCGGCAGGCCUAACACAUGCAAGUCGAGCGGAUGAAGGGAGCUUGCUCCUGGAUUCAGCGGCGGACGGGUGAGUAAUGCCUGGGAAUCUGCCUGGUAGUGGGGGAUAACGUCCGGAAACGGGCGCUAAUACCGCAUACGUCCUGAGGGAGAAAGUGGGGGAUCUUCGGACCUCACGCUAUCAGAUGAGCCUAGGUCGGAUUAGCUAGUUGGUGGGGUAAAGGCCUACCAAGGCGACGAUCCGUAACUGGUCUGAGAGGAUGAUCAGUCACACUGGAACUGAGACACGGUCCAGACGACUACGGGAGGGAGCAGUGGGGAAUAUUGGACAAUGGGCGAAAGCCUGAUCCAGCCAUGCCGCGUGUGUGAAGAAGGUCUUCGGAUUGUAAAGCACUUUAAGUUGGGAGGAAGGGCAGUAAGUUAAUACCUUGCUGUUUUGACGUUACCAACAGAAUAAGCACCGGCUAACUUCGUG